GGGCCGGUAGUCUAGUCUGGUCAGGACGCCCCACAUGGGAGGCUGAGGUCGCCGGUUCAAGUCCGGCCCGGCCCACCA
rnacentral:tRNA from 1 species